rnacentral:rRNA from 1 species
AGCAGCCGCGGUAAUUCCAGCUCCAAUAGCGUAUAUUAAAGUUGUUGCAGUUAAAAAGCUCGUAGUUGAAUUUCGGGAUUUGUCAGUUGGUCGGGCUUCAUUGUCCGUACUGACUUGAUGGAUUCCUACCUUCUGAAUAACCAGCAUGCUAUUAAGUUAGUGCGUUGGGGAAGCAGAUCUAUUACCUUGAAAAAAUUAGAGUGCUUAAAGCGGGCUAGUGCUUGAAUAGAUUAGCAUGGAAUAAUAAAAUAGGACGGCGUGGUUCUAUUUUGUUGGUUUCUAGGAUCACCGUAAUGAUUAAUAGGGAUAGUUGGGGGCAUUAGUAUUCAAUUGUCAGAGGUGAAAUUCUUGGAUUUAUUGAAGACUAACUACUGCGAAAGCAUUUGCCAAGGAUGUCUUCAUUAAUCAAGAACGAAAGUUAGGGGAUCGAAGGCGAUCAGAUACCGUCGUAGUCUUAACCAUAAACUAUGCCGACUAGGGAUCGGACGAAGUUAAUUUUAUAAUGACGCGUUCGGCACCUUACG